rnacentral:rRNA from 1 species
GUGCACGCUGGCGGUAGGCCUCACCCCUGCAAGUCGAACGGCAGCACCGUAAGAGCUUGCUCUUACGGGUGGCGAGUGGCGGACGGGUGAGGAAUACAUCGGAAUCUACUUUUUCGUGGGGGAUAACGUAGGGAAACUUACGCUAAUACCGCAUACGACCUACGGGUGAAAGCAGGGGAUCUUCGGACCUUGCGCGAUUGAAUGAGCCGAUGUCGGAUUAGCUAGUUGGCGGGGUAAAGGCCCACCAAGGCGACGAUCCGUAGCUGGUCUGAGAGGAUGAUCAGCCACACUGGAACUGAGACACGGUCCAGACUCCUACGGGAGGCAGCAGUGGGGAAUAUUGGACAAUGGGCGCAAGCCUGAUCCAGCCAUACCGCGUGGGUGAAGAAGGCCUUCGGGUUGUAAAGCCCUUUUGUUGGGAAAGAAAAGCAGCAGGUUAAUACCCCGCUGUUCUGACGGUACCCAAAGAAUAAGCACCGGCUAACUUCGUG